CUGUUUUGACAGACUAAAACAAUAGAAACAUGUGACAGUGUGAGGUACUAAAUAUAUUUUGAAGGGUGAGUAUAUGUUAGUAAAGAAAACAGCUUUGUGAAAAGGCAAAAAAUUUAAAUAUAUAACGUAAAAUUAAGAUAAGUAAGAGAAAGGGUGGGUUGGGAAUGGUAGGUGAGAAUGUUGAAAGUGAUGACAGUGAUCAAGAUACA